UACAGAGGUCCCAAGCGUUGUUCGGAUUCACUGGGCGUAAAGGGUGCGUAGGUGGCGAGGUAAGUCGGAUGUGAAAGCUCGGAGCUCAACUCCGAAAUGGCAUUGGAAACUACCUUGCUCGAGGGUUGGAGGGGGGACUGGAAUGCUUGGUGUAGCAGUGAAAUGCGUAGAUAUCAAGCGGAACACCAGUGGCGAAGGCGAGUCCCUGGACAACUCCUGACACUGAUGCACGAAGGCUAGGGGAGCAAACAGG
rnacentral:rRNA from 1 species